rnacentral:rRNA from 1 species
GAUGAACGCUGGCGGCGUGCUUAACACAUGCAAGUCGAACGAUGAAGCCGGAGCUUGCUCUGGUGGAUUAGUGGCGAACGGGUGAGUAACACGUGAGUAACCUGCCCUUGACUCUGGGAUAACUGCUAGAAAUGGUAGCUAAUACCGGAUACGACCCUCGGAGGCAUCUCCAGGGGGUGGAAAGAAUUUCGGUCAAGGAUGGACUCGCGGCCUAUCAGCUAGUUGGUGAGGUAAUGGCUCACCAAGGCGACGACGGGUAGCCGGCCUGAGAGGGUGACCGGCAACACUGGGACUGAGACACGGCCCAGACUCCUACGGGAGGCAGCAGUGGGGAAUAUUGCACAAUGGGCGAAAGCCUGAUGCAGCAACGCCGCGUGAGGGAUGAAGGCCUUCGGGUUGUAAACCUCUUUUAGCAGGGAAGAAGCGAAAGUGACGGUACCUGCAGAAAAAGCACCGGCUAACUACGUGCCAGCAGCCGCCGUAA